rnacentral:rRNA from 1 species
ACUCCUACGGGAGGCAGCAGUAGGGAAUCUUCCACAAUGGGCGCAAGCCUGAUGGAGCAACACCGCGUGAGUGAAGAAGGGUUUCGGCUCGUAAAGCUCUGUUGUUAAAGAAGAACACGUAUGAGAGUAACUGUUCAUACGUUGACGGUAUUUAACCAGAAAGUCACGGCUAACUACGUGCCAGCAGCCGCGGUAAUACGUAGGUGGCAAGCGUUAUCCGGAUUUAUUGGGCGUAAAGAGAGUGCAGGCGGUUUUCUAAGUCUGAUGUGAAAGCCUUCGGCUUAACCGGAGAAGUGCAUCGGAAACUGGAUAACUUGAGUGCAGAAGAAGGUAGUGGAACUCCAUGUGUAGCGGUGGAAUGCGUAGAUAUAUGGAAGAACACCAGUGGCGAAGGCGGCUACCUGGUCUGCAACUGACGCUGAGACUCGAAAGCAUGGGGUAGCGAACAGGAUUAGAUACCCUGGUAGGAUAGCG